GCCCAGCUAGCGCAGUCAGUAGAGCGUGAGACUCUUAAUCCCAGAGUCCUGGGUUCUGGUCCCAUGGUGGGCA
rnacentral:tRNA from 1 species